AAUUGUUCGCAAUGGGCGCAAGCCUGACGACGCAACGCCGCGUGGAGGAUGAAGAUUUUCGGAUCGUAAACUCCUGUCGAAUGGGACGAACAGAUUGCGGGUUAACAGCCCGCGAUCCUGACGGUACCGUUAAAGGAAACCCCGGCUAACUCCGUGCCAGCAGCCGCGGUAAUACGAAGGGGGCUAGCGUUGCUCGGAAUUACUGGGCGUAAAGGGCGCGUAGGCGGACAUUUAAGUCAGAGGUGAAAGCCCAGGGCUCAACCUUGGAAUUGCCUUUGAUACUGGAUGUCUUGAGUUCGGGAGAGGUGAGUGGAAUGCCGAGUGUAGAGGUGAAAUUCGUAGAUAUUCGGCGGAACACCAGUGGCGAAGGCGACUCACUGGCCCGAUACUGACGCUGAGGCGCGAAAGCGUGGGGAGCAAAC
rnacentral:rRNA from 1 species